ACCCCCUGGCAAUGGGCAAAGAGACACCUUGUUGGUGUUGUUCUUAUAUCGGUCACGGGAAGAGCAGAUGGCAGUCCCUUGUUCAUCCCACCCUGAUGCCCAGCGUGGGGGCCAAAACUGUUUUGUGCCUAGGACACAUAA
ensembl:snoRNA